GCGAGGAAACCCGCUGAACUUAAGCAUAUCACUAAGCGGAG
rnacentral:rRNA from 2 species